AAUUGUUGAAAACAUCUGCAAACUUGGGUUGUGGCCAUAGGUGAGCUUCAUCACCUAUAGCUUCAGGACUCUCAGUUCCACACCUACUGCUCAUUUCUGGGAAGGUGAAACCCAGUCCCCCAGACAC